rnacentral:rRNA from 1 species
UACGGAGGGUGCAAGCGUUAUCCGGAUUUACUGGGUUUAAAGGGUGCGUAGGUGGGUUGGUGAGUCAGUGGUGAAAUACUUUCGCUUAACGAAGGAACUGCCAUUGAUACUACCAGCCUUGAAUACAGUGGAGGUGGGCGGAAUGCGUCAUGUAGCGGUGAAAUGCUUAGAUAUGACGCAGAACACCAAUUGCGAAGGCAGCUUGCUACGCUGUUAUUGACACUGAGGCACGAAAAGCGUGGGGGAUCAAAACAGG